UCAGGGACUAUAUAUUGACAGUUCCCUUUGUGUGGGCAACUCAGCUUCUAGAUUUAAGUGUUGCUGCCUCACUUCUUUCAAAUAACACCCUCUGUGUGAGGCUGGUUGUGACCCCACUGGCAUUACAAUCCUGCUCCCUUCCUCACGGCCUUCCCACUAUAUUUUUCCCUGCUCCUAAGGAUCCUGCAGUCUAUUUGGAGAGUGAAAACAUAUCCUUAUGAAAAGGAAAGCAGGAAUGGAAUAUUAUAUGGAAUGUCAGAUGAGUGUAAUUCAAGUCAGUAUCAGAAGUGAUAGUUCCUGGCUUGGUGCCAGAUGUUGGAGGCCUGUUGGGCCAAUGACAGGAAUGUAGACUUUAUUCUGGACAGCAGAGAACCAUACAAAAUCUCCCCUCCCUGCUUUGGUUCUGAUUAUGUCACAAUUCUAGCAUCUUUCAUGAAACUAGUUUUUGCACUGAGCAUAUUAGACUCAAAUUAUGUGUUUAUCUUAAUAAGUGCCUAGAUGAAUAUAAAUAAAAUGAAUAUAAAUCUAAAUUUACAAUUGACAAAAUGAUAUACUUUAGUGUACAUAAAUCUAAAUUUACAAUUGACAAAAUGAUAUACUUUAGUGUACAUUUUAGGUUAUGUCCUUCUGGCAGAAAAGGAAGAUAUUUCAAGAAUUAUCCUUUACACAGCAAGUCUUGUAUAUUAGCAGUGAUUUUUGUAAAGUGCCUGGUCUUUUGAGUAUCUACAGACUUUGAGUAUAAGGGGAGAUUGCCUUUUGUAUAACCAAAUUUCUAAUACCAGAAAUAUUUAUGGAGGUUCUGUAUUUUUAUGGAAGGUGAGAUGACUUUUCCGUGAAUACAUUUGUUCAUUAUUGUUUCUUUAUUUGCUUUAAAAUUUAUAAUUCUAGAUAUAUAUAAAAGAAUGUAGGCCGGGCGCAGUGGCUUACGCCUGUAAUCCCAGCACUUUGGGAGGUCGAGGUGGGCGGAUCACAAGGUCAGGAGAUCGAGACCAUGGUGAAACCCCGUCUCUACUAAAAACAAAAAAUUAGCCAGGUGUAGUGGCGGGUGCCUGUAGUCCCAGCUACUCGGGAGGCUGAGGCAGGAGAAUGGUGUGAACCUGGG
rnacentral:lncRNA from 10 species